rnacentral:rRNA from 1 species
GAUGAACGCUGGCGGCGUGCCUAAUACAUGCAAGUCGAGCGAACGGACGAGAAGCUUGCUUUUCUGAUGUUAGCGGCGGACGGGUGAGUAACACGUGGAUAACCUACCUAUAAGACUGGGAUAACUUCGGGAAACCGGAGCUAAUACCGGAUAAUAUUUUGAACCGCAUGGUUCAAAAGUGAAAGACGGUCUUGUUGUCACUUAUAGAUGGAUCCGCGCUGCAUUAGCUAGUUGGUAAGGUAACGGCUUACCAAGGCAACGAUGCAUAGCCGACCUGAGAGGGUAAUCGGCCACACUGGAACUGAGACACGGUCCAGACUCCUACGGGAGGCAGCAGUAGGGAAUCUUCCGCAAUGGGCGAAAGCCUGACGGAGCAACGCCGCGUGAGUGAUGAAGGUCUUCGGAUCGUAAAACUCUGUUAUUAGGGAAGAACAUAUGUGUAAGUAACUGUGCACAUCUUGACGGUACCUAAUCAGAAAGCCACGGCUAACUACGUG